GAUGAACGCUGGCGGCGUGCCUAAUACAUGCAAGUCGAGCGAACAGACGAGGAGCUUGCUCCUCUGACGUUAGCGGCGGACGGGUGAGUAACACGUGGAUAACCUACCUAUAAGACUGGGAUAACUUCGGGAAACCGGAGCUAAUACCGGAUAAUAUAUUGAACCGCAUGGUUCAAUAGUGAAAGACGGUUUUGCUGUCACUUAUAGAUGGAUCCGCGCCGCAUUAGCUAGUUGGUAAGGUAACGGCUUACCAAGGCAACGAUGCGUAGCCGACCUGAGAGGGUGGUCGGCCACACUGGAACUGAGACACGGUCCAGACUCCGACGGGAGGCAGCAGUAGGGAAUCUUCCGCAAUGGGCGAAAGCCUGACGGAGCAACGCCGCGUGAGUGAUGAAGGUCUUCGGAUCGUAAAACUCUGUUAUUAGGGAAGAACAAAUGUGUAAGUAACUAUGCACGUCUUGACGGUACCUAAUCAGAAAGCCACGGCUAACUACGU
rnacentral:rRNA from 1 species